UGCCACUCCGUAACCAACCAUGGCUCUCUGCUCCCAGAUCACGCCUCCUCAGUAUGGCGGCUCAGGGACAUUCCCUCAAUCCCUCCUGCCCUGUUGGCAGUGCCUCCACCCACUCCCCACAGCCCAUGAGGGCUCUGCUUAGCACUUCCUUGUGCCUGGAUUCUCCGCGCAGUUUGGGUGGCCUGGAGUGCUCUUCUGCUCAUCUGGUUUAGCAAGUUCCAUGGGAUGUCAACACCCAGCUCCAUGGCUGGCCGUUAAGAGUUCUUUUGCAGUCCUAGGUGGCUCUGCGCCUCCACGCCCAGGGACCAGGGCCUUUUCUCUUCCAGCUCUUGUUGUGUUACAUAGAAGAUGCCGGCUGGAUGGCACAGGGGAGGGCCGUACAGUGUAGAUGCGGACUGUGUGGCAUAGGUGAGGACUGGACAGCAGAGACAGUGGCUGCAUGAUGGAGGUGAGGGCUGGACGGGGGAGGCGAGGGCUGGACGGGGGAGGUGAGGGCUGCGCAGUGUAGGUGAGGACGGGCUGGACAGGGGAGGUGAGGGCUGGGCAGUGCAGAUGAGGCCUGGGUGGCAGGAAUGAUGCCUGGAUGAAGGAAGUGAGAGCUGGGUGGCUUGAGUGAGGGCUAGAUGGCAUGGGUGAGGGCUGAGUGGCAUAGAUGAGGCCUGGGCAGCAGAGGCAUGGACUGCGCAUCGUAGGUGUCGGCUGGACAGCAAGGGUGAUGCCUGGACAGCAGAGGUGAGGGCUGGGCGGCAGGAGUGAUGCCUGGACAGCAGAGGUGAGGGCUGGGCGGCAGGAGUGAGGGCUGGGUGGCAGGAGUGAGGGCUGGAUGGCGUAGAUGAGGCCUGGGCAGCAGAGGUGAGGGCUGGGUGGCAGGAGUGAGGGCUGGAUGGCGUAGAUGAGGCCUGGGCAGCAGAGGUGAGGGCUGUGCUGUUCCGGUUUUGGGCUAGACGGCAGGGAGAAUGCCUAGAUGACUGGGUGGAGGCCUGGGUGGGAGAAGUGAGGUCUGGACACUGUGGGUGAGGGCUGGAUGGCGUAGAUGAGGCCUGCGCGGUGGAGGUGAGGCCUGUACUUCUCUUGCCACUAAAUCAAGAGCUGUUUAUUGAUUCAUUCCACACUUUUUUCAACACUUCCUAUGAGCCGCCUCUCUUCUAG
rnacentral:lncRNA from 1 species